UGGAGGCUUCUAUCCGACGGUGUCGUUUUAAUGCUCCCUCUCUCCUGCCUAGCUCUUGAAGAGUUCGAGCUUUCUGCCAUGGGUUGCCUUUGAGGUCACCCUCAUCUAUCAUUUUCAGCUCCGAUGCUUCCUUUUAGUGCCCAGUUCUCACGAAGAUCGAUUUCUACUGUUGAGUUUGUACUUUAGAUUAAACUAAGCUCUUGCCCAUUUUUAGAUUGAACUUACUCGAAUUUGUUCAAGAUUGAUAUACGAGAUGAAUUGGAAAAACUCGACUUAAAUUACAUCCUAACUGAAAGAAGUUAACUACAACUGUGAAAUGCUAGAUGCGGUGGCCAGGUCAUGUAAUUGGGAGCGCAAGGCGACCUUCACUAGCGUUUUCAACCUUGCAAUCAAACACCAUAAGCACCAUUCCUACCUCACAGUUACAGCAACAAUUUUACGUUAACCUGUUGCGUAGAUGCUUAGAAACCUCCAAUAUAAGCCAUGGAAGAGCUAUUCACGCCGUUUUUAUCAAAACCCUUUUCCGUUCUCUUUAUCUCCAUAACCAUAUUCUCAAUUUCUAUAUCAAAUCUGGACAUUUGAACUAUGCUCUCAAAUUGUUCGAUGGAAUGCCUGCAAGAAAUGUUGUGUCUUGGUCCUCUGUCAUUUCUGGCUUUGUCCAACAUGGCUAUUCCGAUCAAGCUCUCUCUUUCUUUUCGCGCAUGCAUUUUGAUUCUUCAGUGUUGCCUAACGAGUUUACACUAGUUAGCGUUCUCCAUGCUUGCUCCUUAUCUAAGAAUUCUAUUCAUUUAUACCCAAUUUAUGUGAAUAUUAUUCGGCUAGCAUUUGAAUCAAAUGUUUUUGUGGUUAAUGCAUUUUUAACUGCUUUGAUACGGCAUGAAAAGUUUUUAGAGGCUAAAGAAGUUUUUGAUGGGUGUUCACAUAAGGAUAUGGUCACAUGGAACGUAAUGAUUUCUGGGUUGUUGCAGUAUUCUUAUUUAGAAUUACCAAAUUUUUGGUGUAGAAUGAAUUUUGAAGGUCACAAACCUGAUCAAUACACUUUUGCUGCUGCUUUUACUGCUUCUUCUGCUCUUACUAAUCUCAAUAUGGGUUUGCAAGUCCAUGCACAGCUUAUAAAGACUGGUCAUGGGGCUGAUAUUUGUGUUGGAAAUUCUUUGUGUGAUAUGUACAUAAAAAAUAGGAGGACAGUUGAUGGUUUGAAUGCUUUUCAUGACAUGACUUGUAAAGAUGUGCGUUCUUGGACCCAGAUGGCUGCUGUAUUCUUACAAUGUGGGGAACCAGGCAAAGCGCUUGAGAUUAUUGAAGAAAUGCUGUACAUUGGUGUGAAGCCAAAUAAGUUCACUCUUGCCACUGCACUUAAUGCUUGUGCUAAUUUGCCUUCGUUGGAGGAUGGAAAGAAAUUCCAUGGCCUGAGAAUCAAACUUGAUUCUCAGGUUGAUACCUGUGUUGAUAAUGCAUUAGUCGAUGUGUACGCAAAAUCGGGAUGCACAGAUGAGGCAUGGGCUGUUUUCCAGUCAAUGCCUAAUCGAACAGUUGUUUCAUGGACAACCAUGAUUAUGGGAUGUGCACAAAAUGGCCAAGCUAGAGAAGCUUUGGAAAUUUUUGAUGAGAUGAGAAUGGAAGGUGUAGAGCCAAAUUAUGUCACAUUCAUUUGUGUGCUUUAUGCAUGUAGCCAAGGGGGAUUUAUUGAUGAAGGGUGGAAAUAUUUCUUUUCCAUGUCUAAUGACCACGGAAUCACUCCAGGAGAAGAUCACUAUGCAUGUAUGGUGAAUCUACUUGGUCGUGCAGGGCAUAUUAAGGAAGCGGAGGAAUUGAUCUCAAGAAUGCCAUUUCAACCAGGUGUGCUUGUUUGGCAGACUUUAUUAGGUGCUUGUCGGCUGCAUGGGGAUAUGGAAACUGGAAAGCGAGCAGCAGAAUGUGCAAUCCAUUUGGAUGAAAUUGACCCUGCAAAUUAUGUUUUAUUAUCUAACAUGUUUGCUGGUAUAAAGAAUUGGGACAGUGUGGGGAUGUUGCGUAAAAUCAUGGAGAAUAGGGAUGUAAAGAAAGUGCCAGGAUCCAGUUGGAUUGAAGUAGAAAAAGUUUGCUCAGUUACAUGAGCUUGUCGGAGAACAGCAUGAAUGAAUGGAGACUAAGCAGCACGAUUUUAGGGAAGAGGCAGAGAAGAAGUGUAGAAGAAAGAGAGUAAAAAAUAAGAGCAGAGAAAUGGGGCUUAGGAAGAAAAUUCACGCAUUCACUAGUUACUUAAAGUAGCAGGCAACAAGAUGCAUCAAUAUUGUCUUGUUGUUCCCUACUUAAAGCCGUGGACAUAAUGAAAAGCUGCUGACAGUCUGCUACUCUUAAGUGGCAGAUGGGUGAUGUGGCACUUUGACAGGGUUCACUGCAGUUGUUUGACUCUCCCAGUCAGAAAAAAAAAACCACACCCUAGAUUAGUAACUAUUGUUCAACCCACCCUAUGUUGGUAAUUAUUUUUUUCCAAUAGCCCUCUUACUUAACUAGAUAAAAUUGUGGCUGGUGGGUACAUAGCAAUCUCAGUAAGUAAUCUAUAUUUAUUUCUGAUUAUGCUUUUUUUUUGUCCCCAGUAGUUACAUUAGAGGAAUACAGAGUUAAUGAGCUUGGAUAUGCACAAUGAUUGAAUAUUUUUGUUUGAGAUUCUUUUGAAGGAAGGGCCAAUUGUACCAGAAAUAGAUGCAAAAUCCGGAUUGUAGAUUGGAAUGUUAAAAUUAGUAUUCUAAAAUGCAACCAAACAUAGGUAGAGAAUCAAACAAUCUCAUCACAUGAACCUUGGAUAAUGUUGUCAUCAUUAUUGCAGCAAAUUUUGGGAUUUGUACGUCUCUUUAUUGCUGUUAGCACAGCAUUUUUAGUUUUAGUAAUCUAUGCAGAGCACAUUAUUCUUGUGGAACCAGCCUCGUCUACUAGGUAUGCCUUUUUAUUUAUGGCUGCAGUAUAUUGAUUUAUCAUUGGAAAAUUAUAGACUGGGAGUAUAUGCAUAGAAGGACUUGAUUGUUAUUGCUGAGUGAAGUUUACCUGAAUUGCUGAAAUUAUCUGGAAAAUGGCCUGACAGUUGGUGAAAUGUUAUGAACUGGAUCUUGAGAUAAAGGAAAGGAAUUCAACAAGAUGGUGUAGAGAGUUGAGUCAAAUAGACUUGACUUGCACUUCCCAAAUUAUCUUGGGAAGUGGCCAGAUACUACAAUCUUUUAAAAAAAAAUUACUGAUCAUUAGGUAAAUCCAUGGAUCCAGUUCUUUAUUUGGGACAUAGUUGUUGGUUGCUACUGAAAAUCAUGUUUCAGGUGCAUCAGAAUUGUAGAUGAAUGGCAAUAUAACUCUUAAUAUAGUGGAUAUUAAUGGAAAAUUUGCUAUUUUUUCUUAACUUUGAUGAACUGCUUUGAAUAUAGCAUUGUAAAUGUAAGUUUAACGUGAAGGUCUUCUUUUCUUUUUCUUCUCUUUGGUAAGUAAUUUUUUCUGACUCUGCAAUAGUUCAUAACUUCAUGUAGGUUCCUAAUUCAUAUUCCUGCUGUUUCUUUACAGUGAUUAUGUUCAUUUUAUGUUUCAGGAGACAGAUUGACAUGCUUGAAAGAUUGCCUCAUUUGUCGAGACCCGUCUCACCCAAUAUACCAAACUGAGACCUGGCUUCUCCAUUUUGAUUCAAAACUGAGGGGCCCCUGAUUUCUUUUUGGACCAGUUCCUGGCCAAUCCGAUUCUGGUUUGAAAUUGGUUCUUGGCUGGGUCUACUCAUUUGGCAUGGUUAAUAAUCUUGGGAGAUAAAUGUUUUGACUGAAAUGACUUUUGUGAAUUGUGGUAUGUGACCUUGUACUUGUUUCCCUCGCUUUCUAAUUAUUGUUAAACUCAUGAAAAGUGUCUACCAAGAUAUGGCUAAUAAAGAUGACAGAAGGUCCAUUUACCAGCCACUCCUGUUCAGGUGAGCCGACAAGCCAGGUACCAGAAACAGGAAAUACAAUUUUUAAUUCUAAUAUUGCCCUUCUUCUUUUUUUUUCUCUUUUUGAGAAUAUUGCCUUGUUGAGAGAGUAGCAAGAAUUCAAUUUAAUCAUUCUAUUCUAUGUUUAUCUUAACUAGAAAAAUGAUUUUAAGAGUUUCCACUUUUAGUAAUUUAGUUUAUUUCAAUUUGAUUUGGCUUAAUUUUAAUUUUUCAACUAUGUUCAAGUUGAAAGGGAUGAGUUUUAGGAUUUAAAAUCUUGAUGUCAUGCAUCAUUAGGAUAGUGACAUUAUACUAGCAAAAUGAUAUCCUUUUGACUACUUGCUUGGGGAGGGGAAUGUCUAGGAGCAGAAAAAUAAAUGGAAGAGUGAAAACCUAACUUCCCUGUUUUCCUCUACAAAAAAGUUUUGAACUUUAAUUAGUUUUACAAUGUUAUUUUGUAUGUUAUUUCUCAUUACAUCAUAUUGGUCAGCUAAAACUAAUAAUGUAGAUGCAUCAUAUUUAGGGCUAUGAGAAAAUCCAUUAGCAAAGACCCUAUCUUUUUGAUUGGCAAGUUUAAUUUCAUUUUACAAUAAGUAUUUUUUAUUUGAGUUGUUAUUUAAUUUUUCAAUUAAUGCUGAUAUGUGAUGUAUGAAGGUUGUAAUUAUUAUGAAUGAUAAAAAUAUAAGGUGUCGAUUAAUAAAAUUAGCUGUAAUUGUAAAA